GUAAGUCUUCGGGCUUAUGUUCACUACUUUAUAAACCUAAUUCUAAAAAAUCAUAUGAAUAUAAAAACAUAAACAAUAAAAAAUUUUACUAACGAUGGAUCUCUCGGCUCACAUAACGAUGAAGAACGCAGCGAAAUGCGAUAUGCAAUGCGAAUUGCAGAACUCCGCGAGUCAUCAGAUUUUCGAACGCAACUGGCGCUGAGAGGAUAUCCUCUUAGCAUGUUUGUUUCAGUGUGUUGUUCACUUCAUAAACCUUAAUGCGAUUGAAGGAAAUUCGUUUCUCUCUCGUUAAAAAGGAAGUAUAAUGAUUCUCAAACUUCCAACGAAGCGGUCACUUUUUAGAAGUGAUUUUCGUCUGGAAAAUUUGUUAUCAAUAAUUUAUACCAAAUAAUUUUCUCUUACCCACUGACCUCAAAUCAAGCAAGACUACUCCCUGAAUUUAAGCAUAUUAUUAAGGGAAGGAAAAGAAAA
rnacentral:rRNA from 1 species